rnacentral:lncRNA from 1 species
AUCAUACCCGGAUGUAACUGUCAUGGCCGACGCCUGUGAGCGCUCGCAAUGGACGUGGAGUUAAGGGCUGCCCGAGAGGCGUUUACAAUUAGGGAUUUCGAAGCCUGCCAUCUAGAGGCAACGGACGGGAGUGCCGCGAGGCAGGGUGCCCCCCCUGCCGGCUCCCAAACUGCGCUCCCGCACGCCUGUCAAGCUGUCAGGCGUCUCUAGACAAGUUGCUCCCCCUUGGCAGGGCGAGGCCGCGCGGCCCACUCAAGUCUUUGAUCCUUUUGCAGCCCAGGCGCAGGGCACGCAUCGCAGCCGCAUCCUACAGGAAAAGGCGGGCCGGACGGCCGGAAGAGGUGGGGGCGCUGAGGCCUCUCAGCAGCAGCGCCAGGGAUCAUCACUGAGUGCCAUCAGGCGCCUCCGCCCCAUGGGGUCCUGGCCAGAUCUCAGCCAAGAUUGUCCUCGCAGUGGAGCACUUUGCUGAUUCAGCCACACGCACAGUCGGCCCUGCCCUAGAUUUCUAUUUUCUGAGUCUCAAGGAUGGGUUGCGAUGCAGUGUGAUUGGUUUCAGAGUUGAGAGAGAGAGAGAGAGAGAGAGAGAGAGAGAGAGAGAGAGACCCAAAUAUAAGCAAAGCAGUACUAGUUUAUAAUUCAGAAUUUAUAAACAAUUGUACAUGUUGAGUCAUGAUAGUGUUGAAGAUAUGAUUUAAAAGAAGUGUUCUUGUAAGACAAGAAUAAAUACGAACAUUUAGAAAAGCUGAACUCUGCUACUGCGGUGAGUUGCAAGAGGAAGACAGAGUUCCUCAUAAGGUUGUCACUGCCAAAGGUUACUGAAAACAUUUUACAUACAUUCACUUUUAAUUACAUUUUCUCUUAGCAGGAGUGGAGAGUCUUAAAGAUCUUGUCACCAAGUAAACAGAGACAAACAUGUGUAUUGGUUUAUUAACAGUUGAUAGUAGUUAAAGUCAACUUAUACCAAUAGGAUUAAAAUCUCAGUUAAAACUUUUCUUGCCUGAAAUAUGUAAUCUAAAAGGCAGACUGUAGCUGCUGCGUUCAUAGAAACACAAAUGUAGAAGUUAGUACUUAACAGCAGGCUGACUUCACUUGGAAGUGUUGUAAUUUAGACUGUCACCCAAAGUCUCACAAUUUUUAGAGGUGAUUGGAAAAAUAAUGAUUUUAUAAAGUAAUAAUAGUAAAAGAAAAGAGGAAUGACGGCCAUGACCCAUUUUCAGAAUAUCCCAUUACUUAGAACAUGAAAUUAGGAAGCACCUUGAAAACAAAUUGUUUUGUUUUGUUUUGUUUUGUUUUGUUUUGUUUUGUUUUGUGACAGUCUUAAACUAUAGUUCAGGGGACCUGGAAUGCACUGUAUCCCAAACUGACCUGAAAUUUACAGCAAUCCUCCUGUCUCAGCCUGCUUAUAUUUGAGAUUUUUACAACUAUGUACUAUGUGCAAAGCACUAAAUUAGGAAUGAAUGAGAAAGUACUUUAAAAUAGGUCAAGUAAGUCACAGUCAGUUAUUAUGCUUCUGACCAAAUUAUGUGUCCUGACACACUGUAAUCACCAAAGCUUGUGUUUCUCUGUGUGUGUUUUAUAUACUCACAUGUAGUUUCAGUUUUUUUGUUUUGUUUGCUUUGAUGUAAUACGAUUUUUUUUUUUUUUUUUUUUUGAGCAAGGUUUCUUUUUGUAACCUUGGCUAUUCUGGACUCUGUAGACCAGGCUGGCCUCAAACUCAGAGAUCUUCCUGCUUGUGCCUCCUGAGGGCUGAAACUAAAGGUGUAUACGGCCUUGCUCAUCAAGUUUCAGUAUUUUAAAGAGAACAAAAGUGAAGUAACUGUGUAUACUGGGUAUAAAAACACAGUCUGCUAUGUUUCUGAACCUAGGGUCAGAAAAGAGACAAUUUGCAAGUCCCAAAUUAUUCAUAUACUGUAUUUUGUUCCUUGGAUUAUUGAGAUUGAUAUUUGUGCCAAAUAAAGUGUUUAGUAAUUUGAUCAUACAUGGCCUAGAUCCUUUCUGUUUGUAUGAUUUCUUGAAUGCAAGUGUUCUGGAUCCAUGAUAUAGUUUUUGGACAAAGCAGUGCAAAAGUGGUUAUUUUUGUUGUUGUUUGUUUAAUUGCUCUAGUUGGGACAUCAAUCAUUUUAUUGAGUUUUUCAUUAUUGUAGUUAGUUGCAGGCCUUGUGUAAUGUCUUUUAGUUGUGGGGUAGUUGAGGCUUCUUUUAAAUUAUUUCCUACUAAAUAUAAAUUUUAAUAAGGCCUUGUCAUUUAUAGAAGACUUACCAAAUGCCAACCUCUGUUACCAGCCUGUAGUGUUUAGUUAAUAUUUAUGGCAAGUUUAUAUAAAGUGGUCUUUUAACAGAUGGAGAAACAAGGCAAAGAGGGAUUUACCCAUGGUCACAAAACUAGAGCCAUAUUCUCUGUACCUUCCCCUCUUUCUCUUUCAUUGUAUAUAUGUGUGUGUGUUUGUGUGUGCAUAGUGGUGUGCAUGAGUGUAAAGGCAGAGAUCAAAGUCACUUGUCUUUCUCAAGCACUCUCCACCUUAUUUUUUGAGACAGGGUCCUUCACUAACCUUGGAGCUCACAGAUUCAGCUAGACUGACUGACCAGUGGGCUCCAGGGACCCAAUGGUCUCUGGCCCCAUAGACCAUUACCAGGUAGCAGGAGGCGCCAGGCCCUUCCAUCCGCUAGUUGGCAGCUGGUGCCUGCUUGUCUCUGAACUCUGAGAGCUGGAAAGGUACAGGUAGUCUGCUAUGUUUCUAAACCUAGUGUCAGAAAAGAGACAAUUUGUAAGUCCCAAAUUAUUCAUUAGAUUAGGGUCUGUGUCCUAAACCAACGGGGUGGGAAGCUUGGAAAGAGGACAAACCCUGGCCUAGGAGACAGGGAAGACAAGAAUUUCCCACAACCGAGGUACAUUACAAAUUAUUAUCUUCCAACAAAUCAUCCGUUUGCCUUUCUCUCUGCGGAGUGGAAUACUCAGACCUGCUUUGUUUUCACCAGGCUCUUGGAUUUCCCAUCCUGUAACCCCCAGACUGAACCCAGGUUUUAACCACACGAGGCAAAUGUUAUGUGCUUCUUCUAGCUGGCAUCCAUUUCCUCAAAACUGAAAACAGACCCAGACUCAGCUUUACCUACCCUGAUUUGUCUGUUGGGGGAAAAAAUAAUUUAAAAAUUUCUAAAUGUUAUCAUUCUCACAUUUACUAAAUUAACCCAUGGAACCUUAUCGUUAAUCUUUCUUUCUCUUUCUUCCUUCCUUCCUUCCUUUCUUUCUUUCUUUCUUUCUUUCUUUCUUCCUUCCUUCCUUCCUUCCUUCCUUCAUUUAUUUAUUCAUUUUGAGACAGGGUCUUGCUAUGUGGCUCAUGCUAUUCUUGAAUUUGGUAUAUAGCCUUGACUAGCCUCAAACUCCUGGAAAUCCUCCUGUCUCAGGUUCCUGAGCUUUAGGGUUACAGAUGUUCACCACCAUAUCUGGCUGAACCUUUUUAUUCCUUCAGACAUCCAGUCAUCUUGCGACAUCCAGAAUCCUUAAAAGGAUCUUUUCCUAUUGAGUUUGGGAUUUUCUUCUAAGCCCUCAAACUGAUUCUGUAAGUUUCUCUGCUUCACAUGUGUUCUCUCCACCUACGGCUGUCUGACUACACCCUAACUGUGAUGUCUCUGAUCUCCAAAAUGUCCAAGUUUAAAAGAGUGUACAUCUUGGAUUUAGGCAGCUUUCCCAUCUUAAUUAUAUAUCUUUAUAGCCUUUUAUUUCUGUGUUGUGUGGUUUUGAUAUAUAGAAUUCAAGGUUAAAAAAGAAAAAGCUCUUGCUGGGCAUAGUGCUGCAGGCCUGUAACUUCAGUUCUUGAGAGGCAGAGAUGGGCCGUCAGACUAGCCUUCAUUAUAUAACAAGACUCUGUCCC